rnacentral:rRNA from 1 species
GACGAACGCUGGCGGCGUGCUUAACACAUGCAAGUCGAACGGAAAGGCCCUGCUUUUGUGGGGUGCUCGAGUGGCGAACGGGUGAGUAACACGUGAGUAACCUGCCCUUGACUUUGGGAUAACUUCAGGAAACUGGGGCUAAUACCGGAUAGGAGCUCCUGCUGCAUGGUGGGGGUUGGAAAGUUUCGGCGGUUGGGGAUGGACUCGCGGCUUAUCAGCUUGUUGGUGGGGUAGUGGCUUACCAAGGCUUUGACGGGUAGCCGGCCUGGGAGGGUGACCGGCCACAUUGGGACUGAGAUACGGCCCAGACUCCUACGGGAGGCAGAAGUGGGGAAUAUUGCACAAUGGGCUGAAGCCUGAUGCAGCAACGCCGCGUGCGGGAUGACGGCCUUCGGGUUGUAAACCGCUUUCGCCUGUGACGAAGCGUGAGUGACGGUAAUGGGUAAAGAAGCACCGGCUAACUACGUG